UUUUAUCAGUAGAAGAAGAACUUUGCAACCUCACUCUCCAUCAAUGGCGGCUUGUAAUUCCACUUCUCCUUCUUCCCUAAUGUUCACUUUCUUUCGUUCACAACCAAAAUCUCAUCUCUUUCAAGGGGAUACUCCGAUAUUCCACCAUCAAAUCCUUCUCCUCCUGCCAUUUUCUUUGCAGUCCUAGGAGAUCAGAUGAUUGGGUAUUGCUUAAUUUUCAGAGACGAGCGAGGCACCAUGUGAUCGUCGCUGCUCUCGCCGCCGCCGUGAGUGUCGCCGAGGUGGACGCCGAAAAAAACGAGGGGGUCGUUGCGCCUAAACCUAAGAAGGGAAAACCCGCGUUGCCCCUUGAAAGAGAUAGAGUAUGUUCCAAAAUCUUGUAAUGUUUGAUUUCGGUGUGAUGAUUGGAUUGUGGAUUGUGGAUUGUGUUCUGUUUCAUGGUUGUGCUUGGAGGGGAUUGUUUUCAAGCUUAGAAAUGGAGGAAUUUAUUGUAUGAUAUGUCAGAGGAGAUCCAGGAGAUUCUUGGAAAUUCAAAAACCGAGGGAAGACAAAAAGGAUUAUGACCUCCAAACAGCUAUAUCUCUGAUCCCUUUACUGUUAAGAGAAGUUAUAAAGAAUGUGCAUAUCAUGAGGUUAUUUUAUUUGAAUGCUCUUAUACAGGUGAGAAAUUUGAUGAAGCAAAGAAUGCUGGAGCUGAUUUGGUUGGUGGAGAGGACUUAAUAGAACAGCUAAAAGGAGGAUUUAUGAAUUUUGACCAAUUGAUUGCUUCCCCAGACAUGAUGCCUAAGAUGAACUAGCUGGUUAGGACUAUAUUGAUGAUCGAUCCUGCUUAUGUAAUGCAGAAAGAAAUAACGAGUUGCUAGCCUCGGGAAGCUCCUAGGGCCUCGAGGACUCAUACCGAAUCCAAAAGACGGCAAUAGCAGAAUUCAAGAAGGGGGUAAAGUUGAGUACAGAGCAGAUAAAACUGGUAUAGUUCACUUACCAUUUGGAAAACCUGACUUCAGCAAAGAGGACCUUCUUAUAAACUUGUUGGCUGCCAUAAAAUCAGUAGAAACCAAUAAGCCAUCUGGUGCAAAAGGUGUAUACUGGAAGAGCGCUCACAUAUGCUCGUCGAUGGGGCCUUCAAUUUGGUUAAAUAUAAGGGAGAUGUUAGAUUUCGAACGUCCCUCGAGCGCUUGAUGAAUAACAGACCUGUACAGCUCUUAUGUUUGUUGAAUCAGCCUCUUGGGGGAUCCAUUGGAAGAUAAUGGUGCCCAUAUGUGAGCAACAUUGAAAAGAGGAUGAUAAAAGAAGCUAGGAAGAAGAGUCAGGAGAUAUCAGAUAGUUAUUGACUACACAGAAACAAGCAUACUGCAUAGUUUUCUCUACCGACUCACUUUGUAUUAAUGGUGUUAGGUUCUUAUGGAUCUACCACGCUUUGAUUGACCUCUUGCCAAGGGGGGAAAAAAAUGAUAAAUGUACGCAAUUGUAUUGACCAGCUGCUGCUCUUUAAUUUGGGACAUUUCGAAAGUGGUUGUUUCUUAUGGGUUCGUCGCAAAGGAGCAUUUGGUAUGCAAAUACGUUUGGUUGAUUUAACUUUCA